rnacentral:lncRNA from 1 species
UGAAAAUUAUUGCUGUUUACAGUUUAUCUCUAUCUAUAAUAAUAUUCAAGAUAAUAACCAAAAACUGCAAAAUUUCCUUAAAAUUACUAAUUUGGGGGCAGCAACCCAACAACGGGUUGUCCGAUUUGUCUGAAAAUUUCAGGGCAGAUAGAUCUUGACCUAAUUGACAAUUUGACCCCAGGUUUGCUCUAAAUGCUUUGGUUUCAGAGUUAUUAGCCAAAAUCUACAUUUUACCCCUAUGUUCUAUUUUUAGCCAUGGUGGCCAUCUUGGUUGGUUGGCAGGGUCACGCCACACAUUUUUUAAACAAAAUAUCCCAAUGAUGAUUGUGGCCAAGUUUGGAUAAAUUUGGCCCAGUAGUUUCAGAGGAGAAAAUUUUUGUAAAAGUUUACAGAUGACAGACGCCAAGUGAUGAGAAAAGCUCACUUGACCUUUCAGGUCAGG